GGGCGCUUGGUCUAGGGGUAUGAUUGUAAGCUCAUCACAAAAUCUCCCACAAAUUCCUCAACUAACCACCUAUAGUUCGCUUCGCAUCUUCUCGAUACGUAUAUGUGAAAGGUCGUGGGUUCAAUUCCCACAGCGUCCA